rnacentral:other from 1 species
AUAUGACUCCCGAGCACCGGGCAGUGGGGAACUGGGACGCAGGCGCGGACCCAGGGAUCACUCCCCCAGCACGGGUAUGAAACCAUAGGGGACCUGUCCGGGUGGCCUCUGGGAUAGGCACUCCCCAAGGUAAUAUGUAGGGGGGGCAUCAUGAGGG